GACGAACGCUGGCGGCGCGCCUAACACAUGCAAGUCGAACGAGCGAGAGAGAGCUUGCUUUCUCGAGCGAGUGGCGAACGGGUGAGUAACGCGUGAGGAACCUGCCUCAAAGAGGGGGACAACAGUUGGAAACGACUGCUAAUACCGCAUAAGCCCACAGCUCGGCAUCGAGCAGAGGGAAAAGGAGCAAUCCGCUUUGAGAUGGCCUCGCGUCCGAUUAGCUAGUUGGUGAGGUAACGGCCCACCAAGGCGACGAUCGGUAGCCGGACUGAGAGGUUGAACGGCCACAUUGGGACUGAGACACGGCCCAGACUCCUACGGGAGGCAGCAGUGGGGAAUAUUGCACAAUGGGGGAAACCCUGAUGCAGCGACGCCGCGUGGAGGAAGAAGGUCUUCGGAUUGUAAACUCCUGUUGUUGAGGAAGAUAAUGACGGUACUCAACAAGGAAGUGACGGCUAACUACGUGCCAGCAGCCGCGGUAAAACGUAGGUCACAAGCGUUGUCCGGAAUUACUGGGUGUAAAGGGAGCGCAGGCGGGAAGACAAGUUGGAAGUGAAAUCCAUGGGCUCAACCCAUGAACUGCUUUCAAAACUGUUUUUCUUGAGUAGUGCAGAGGUAGGCGGAAUUCCCGGUGUAGCGGUGGAAUGCGUAGAUAUCGGGAGGAACACCAGUGGCGAAGGCGGCCUACUGGGCACCAACUGACGCUGAGGCUCGAAAGUGUGGGUAGCAAACAGGAUUAGAUACCCUGGUAGUCCACACUGUAAACGAUGAUUACUAGGUGUUGGAGGAUUGACCCCUUCAGUGCCGCAGUUAACACAAUAAGUAAUCCACCUGGGGAGUACGACCGCAAGGUUGAAACUCAAAGGAAUUGACGGGGGCCCGCACAAGCAGUGGAGUAUGUGGUUUAAUUCGACGCAACGCGAAGAACCUUACCAAGUCUUGACAUCCUGCGAUGGUGCUGGAAACAGUACUUUCCUUCGGGACGCAGAGACAGGUGGUGCAUGGUUGUCGUCAGCUCGUGUCGUGAGAUGUUGGGUUAAGUCCCGCAACGAGCGCAACCCUUAUGGUCAGUUACUACGCAAGAGGACUCUGGCCAGACUGCCGUUGACAAAACGGAGGAAGGUGGGGAUAACGUCAAAUCAUCAUGCCCUUUAUGACUUGGGCUACACACGUACUACAAUGGCGUUAAACAAAGAGAAGCAAGACCGCGAGGUGGAGCAAAACUCAGAAACAACGUCCCAGUUCGGACUGCAGGCUGCAACUCGCCUGCACGAAGUCGGAAUUGCUAGUAAUCGCAGAUCAGCAUGCUGCGGUGAAUACGUUCCCGGGCCU
rnacentral:rRNA from 1 species